AGUUUGGUAGAUCGUAGGGAUUGUCGCUGGCCUUUGGAAACGAAGGCAUGUGCACGUUCCGAGUUCUCCUUAGUCCUCCUUUGCCUUUCCUUUGGAAAACCCUUUCUUCACACCCGUGCACACAUUGUAGGUCUCCGCGAGGGGAUCUAUGUCUUCAUAAAACUCUACGUAUGUCCAGGAAUGUAUCUAAAGCGUCGAACGGCUUGGCUCCAUGCCCGGUCGUCGACGGUAAAGAACCAUAAUACAACUUUCAGCAACGGAUCUCUUGGCUCUCGCAUCGAUGAAGAACGCAGCGAAUUGCGAUAAGUAAUGUGAAUUGCAGAUUUUCAGUGAAUCAUCGAAUCUUUGAACGCACCUUGCGCUCCUUGGUAUUCCGAGGAGCAUGCCUGUUCGAGUGUCAUUUAAUUCUCAACCAUCCCUCGAUUCGUUUCGAGGUUUGGCUUGGAUUUUGGGGGCUGCCGGCGACCCUCGGGUCUUCGGCUCUCCUUAAAAGCAUUAGCGAUGGCGGCGCGAUCUGACCAUGCAUGAACGGCCUUCGACGUGAUAAUGAUCGUCGUGGCUGGAGUGCUA
rnacentral:rRNA from 1 species